GCUGCCAACAUGAAUUCAUGACAUGUCAGUAUAAAUUACUCCCCUGACACUCCCUUAUCUGUUCCCGUGCGCCGCCAAAGUUGAAACCAAUCCAACCCCUCCGUGCCCCGAGUAUGAGAACAGACUCGGAGGCACACACACAGACGCGAAGCGAGCACGCCCUCUAACUAUUGCACAUGACAGCAGGAUAGGAAACCGCGUGCGUUGCUUAAAUGAUUUCUUUAUACCUUUUUUGUCCCCUCGCCGCGGAGAAAAACAGCCCGGGGCAUUAAUUAUCGCUCUCACACGUGCGUGUGUGUGUGCAGAACGGAGAGCCGGAAAGCCCCAAGACCAUGAGCGCAGAGCGGCCGCGGCUCGCGCGGUGUUAUUCUGCGCGGCCGCGUACGGAGCAGAGGUGUCUGGCAUCGUCCGCUCCACGUGGCAUGCUAAUUGGGCCCCUGUACGGAGCUCGAUACUGGCUUCGCAGUAGUAACAGGGGUGCCAAGGCCACUUGGCAACCCUGUUACAGACGCCAAUCCAACGAAGCCUCGCCGAUUUCGUAGAUCCUGAGAGUGCGGCCUGCGCGCGUGGACCAGCUACAACCUUGGGCCGUCCUUUCAAAGACCACCAAGGCAUUCGGAGAGGCAUAUGCAGUGCACGAUCGAAAUCACGUUGAAGGAAACGCGGCCUCUAGACCGUGGAAUUCUUUUCCACAGGACACAUUGGCUUAGGAGGCAAGGACACUGUGGAAGACAUGCUUGAGUGUCUGCGCAAGGAAGUGCAAAGAACAAGCUGACGUACUCGUGUUGUUUUGGACAGGCACCACUUCAUUGACACCAGUAUUGCGGUUUUGACGUGC
rnacentral:lncRNA from 1 species